AAUGAACGCUGGCGGCAGGCCUAACACAUGCAAGUCGAACGGAUCCUUCGGGAUUAGUGGCGGACGGGUGAGUAACGCGUGGGAACAUACCCAAAGGUACGGAAUAGCCUCGGGAAACUGGGAGUAAUACCGUAUGUGCUCGAAAGAGGAAAGAUUUAUCGCCUUUGGAUUGGCCCGCGUUGGAUUAGGUAGUUGGUGGGGUAAUGGCCUACCAAGCCGACGAUGCAUAGCUGGUUUGAGAGGAUGAUCAGCCACACUGGGACUGAGACACGGCACAGACCCCUACGGGAGGCAGCAGUGGGGAAGCUUAGACACUGGGGGAAACCCUGAUCUAGCCAUGCCGCGUGAUCGAUGAAGGACUGAGGGAUGUAAAGAUCUUUCAGGUGGGAAGAUAAUGACUGUACCACCAGAAGAAGCCCCGGCUAACUCCGUGCCAGCCGCCGCAGUAA
rnacentral:rRNA from 1 species